rnacentral:rRNA from 1 species
UACGUAGGGGGCUAGCGUUGUCCGGAUUUAUUGGGCGUAAAGAGCGUGUAGGCGGCCAGGUAGGUCUGGUGUGAAAACUCGAGGCUUAACCUCGAGAUGUCAUCGGAAACCAUUUGGCUAGAGUCCGGAAGAGGAGAGUGGAAUUCCUGGUGUAGCGGUGAAAUGCGCAGAUAUCAGGAAGAACACCUGUGGCGAAAGCGGCGCACUGGACCACAACUGACGCUGAGGCGCGAAAGCUAGGGGAGCAAACAGG